GUAUUUAUAGGUGCAGCCGCGCCGCCGAGCGCCCUGUGCAAUAACACGGCAAUCACGUGUGGGAAACGGGGAGCUGGAGGAAAACAAAAGCCCGGCCAGCAGCCCGGAGGAGGAGGGAGAAGGUAUCACAAUGUUAAUGUAGACAUAAAGUUCAAAAUGGAGUAGUCUUUAUUGAAACAAGGAAUGGGCAAAUGUCCUGUCUGCCUGGAAAUGAACAAGCAGUGGUGUAAAUAAAGGGCGACUCGUAACUGCAGGAGAACAGAAAGACUGGUAAUGAAUGAAUGGACUGGAAAUUACAGGAAGGCUCGGACUCGAAUUCCAAGGCAGGAUUGUAAAUUGUGGGAAGUGGAGUCAGACGUGCUGUACAUCAACAGUACAGAUGCUUGAAUUUGCUGCUCCUUUGUAGAUGUGAAUUUGUUUGAAAAGCCAUCUGCUGGUCUUGAGCCUUUAGUAUUUGCCUGCCAACCAGAAUGAGAUAGGUGGGGAGUAUGUUGCUCUUACUGUUCUGUACAAGACAUACCUGAACUGCAGAGAAAAGCAGGAGAACGAUGGCCCAUAAAGGUAAGAGGAUGAUAAAUGCAGGUAAGGUCAUUUGUCCCAGAACUUCAAAUGCUCGAAUUCAGUAUGCAAUUGUUUCCAAAGUGGAUAUUUUUAAAGGGCAUCACGCCAAGUAAUUUUAGGCCAAAUAUGUGGCUAUUUAAGGAAAUACAUUACAGAGCAUUAAAGGCAACUCCCAUGAAAAAUCAUUUUAAUUGUGCCCAAAUCUGUGCAGUUGUGCCUCAGUUCAGAGCCAAGGACCCGGUGAGGCAGGACACUGUAAUGCUCAGUGCCAAACAGACUGAGGGCCAGAGCUCUGAAAGGGGCACAUCAUGUUCAUGGGGGAUAUUUCUUUUCCAUCUCCACUUUGAAUAUUCCCUUGCAAGUGUUGUGUUAUUAAAUGUAAAUACAAUAGCCUUGUGUGGAUGAAACCUAGAGAGAGCAUCUCCCUGUGUGAAAUGUGCCAGCUCUGUUCACCAUUUGCAGGAUAAACCCUGUUUCCUGCCAGGGUGUCCCACGUUGAACAGGGAGUUUCCUCUCCCCAAACAAUAGCGGCGUGGGUCAGCAUUGCCCUGGGCGUGAGUGGUUUUACAGGGGAGGAGGUGCGCAGGUGGAAGAGAAAUGGUUUGCGAUAGAAGCAGGACCGAUUUUUCCAUGACUGCACCAGGAUGGUGCUAUGUCAGCCCCCGUUGGCGUGGGGUUUGCUGGUUUUCCACCCACCAUGUGGACAAAGAGACUUUCCCCUAGACAUGGAUGUGGUCCCUGACGUGGGUAGUGCUCCGUGCUCAUCCCUUUGCCCUCCUGCAGCAUCUCCUCUGGAAGGAGAGCAGCAUUGCCUGCGCAACUGAUGAUUUCUGCAGGCUGAAGUCCAUCAAAGCUAUCUAAAGAUUCUUUAAAACACAGCGUGAACAACUUAGGGGCUGUUUUUUCCUUUCGCAUUAGCUGCAUGAGGAGGAAAGCACAUGGGACAUGGGACAUGGCGAUGCUUUGUCUUGUGCUGGAGCAUGGGUGCUUCAGCAGGACAGGCUGCCAGAGGAACGUAAUCUCUGCCCCACUCUUCCUGACCAGGGCUGAUGGAGCUGUUUUUUUCCAGUGAAUUUCCAGCUAUGCUAUUAAAAUAAACUUCUCACUGAAAGCUUCUGCCUUGAAGCAGCCGCCCUGCCUCUGUAUUUGCCUCUGUUCUGUAACUCUCUGUGCUGUUGAAUGGGGAUCUCCUCUCCCAGGCUAUCUAUCUCCUAUGCAGCUGAAAUUAACCCCUAUGCAAUCCUAUGGAGCAUUAAUACCCACUAUUUAAGGGCUUAAAAGCAUCCUGCCCUGUGAUAAGUUAUCCAAAUGCUAUACAUCAGCUGUAUCGCAACCUGAAGUGAACUGGAUGUUGUGCUAUGCCUUAUUCCUGUUUUGUCAUGAAGUCACUAGGCAAGAGGGUUGGGGUUUGUCUGCUUUUAUUCUGUUUUGUUUGUGUUUUAAUAAUCAUUAUUUGCAGCCAAAUUCUAAAGUCCAUGGUUAGGGACCCUACGGUCAAAUUUCCCUUAACUCUUCUUAGGGGAGGGAAAAAUUGAGUCAGGACCUUAUGAUCAGAACAUAAGCAAACAAUCUGUUGUGGCAAACUCAUGAGGGGAUAAAAAAAUAUGAUGAUUCAAGGCAACAAUAUGCUCAUCCUGAGAUCAUCAUUUUCACAAAGGCAGGGGGUAACAGCUGUCUGUUCAUCAGAGGAUUAUAUCUUCCUGCUGUUAUUUCUGUGACCCUAAAUAAAACCUCUAAUGCCAGCGCAGCAGCGUGGCCAGAGAAAACAGCAAUGGCAGGAACAAAUCCCUCCCUUCUGCUCUGGAGAGGUUUCUGUGGAUGGAGUUGUUUUUAUGGAGUCUUAACUAAAUUAUUUUUCCUGUUAGGUCCAGAAGGUAGAGAUUCAAAUAAUCUCCCACCUUCUAAAAUCCUCCUCUCUCCCUUCUAAAAUCAUAGGUGAGGAGUCCCCAUCCUGAUGAAGAUGUAAUAGAAAGAUGUAUACAAAUACAGUGUUUAAUUCCAAGAUUUUCCCAUAUUUUAGUUAAGAACUCGCUGGAUUAUGAAGCUUAGGUUGUGCUAGAUUUAAAAACACAUGUGUGUCCAAGAGCACAUGAAUGAAUAUGAGCAUUAAAUUCUGCUGACCAUUCACUUCAAAAUUUUUCCACCGCAUGUGAUUCCAGGACAAAUAUUGAUUGAAUAACCUCUCUGUGUGUGAAGUGUGGUCUGACACCCACAGUGACCUUUCUCUUCCCUGUCUAAUCACCAGAGAUAGCUGUAAGCUUCCUUUUGUACCAGAAAUCUUGUUUCAUAACGCAGCUCCCCUGCUCUUUGGAACCUGAGUUUCUCUGUUUGUUUGUUCAGCCAAUUGAGGUCUGCUGGGCUCUUGCUCUGUUUGAUUUGCCUGUUAGCUUUGUCACUGGCUGAAAUGGCCCCAGGGCUGGUUUGUUCAAGGCUUUUUUUUCCUCUGGAAGAGGUGGUGGAGGGUUUUGUUCUCCACAAGUUGGAUGGCAUCACUGCAUGUGAGGUUUGCCUCGCUGCCAGCUGCUCAUCCACUCAAGCAGGUGGCAUGGUGUACGUGCUCACACGUGGUCACCGAGCAUCUGCCCAGUCUCUAAUGGGUUUUAUUCAAUGGGCCUCCCUUUUAUCUAUAAAAGCACCAUGGUUUUAGAUCUGACUUUUUAGGAUUCAAGGUGACAACAACAUUUCUCACAGAGAUGAUGAGCCCUUGGGGCAGGUGGAGAGGGAAGGACGUUGGGGCUGGUGCUUUUUGGACCGGCUCAGCCAAAGCUGGGGAAAUACUGGGUGUAGCAGAGCAAAGAAGUUUGAAUGAGAUAUCCUCUCUCUCUCACGAUUGCUCUUUAUUACAAGGAAAGAAGACAAAUAUUACAGCUGACUUUACAAUUGCUUUCACAAACACAGAGUGCAGUGUAUAAGGCUCCCGUGGAGUCCGUAUCUCCCCUGAAGGUUUCCCUUGGGAAAGCUGGUGGAGUGCCUGGGUUCCCCCACACCCUAUCCAUACUCCACUGCCCUCCAUGUCUUCAGGACAUGUGCUAAGACCUAUGGUGAUGGGUCCUGGGACCUGUGGGGUUUUUAUUCGUCUUUCACUGGUGCCAUCACCAAAAUUACUAAUAUCCAGGCCUCCAGCUCCCAGCAAAGACGUGCAUAUUUGUGGAGCACACAUAGCCCUCUUCUAGCCUAAGCCUUCUUCUCAUGUUAACUAAAAAUACUCAUAAUGGCUUCCUGUGAGAUUAUGAUUCUUGAUUCUCUCUAUAAAUAUACAUAUAGAAACACACCCACACUAUAUAUCUCAGUAAAUGCAUAUAUACAUGCAUAUAUAUAUAUCCCUGCUCUUCCCUUUCCUUCUCUUCUCACAGGCUGAGUAGUCCCAGUGAGAGGACAGUAACUUUCCAUCACAAAUGCUUUUCCUGUGACUGUUUUUUGUUUUCUAAGCCUGUGAAAAUAUUUUCAUUUUGGUUGUCUAUAAAUAAAUAGAAAUUUGCCUUCCAGAAUGUGUUACUAGAGCAAAUCAAGUGCUAGGAUUGAUGCCUUUUAAACAAAUACUCUCAUGAUUUACAUGCAGAUAGCGCCCUAGUGUAAAAAGUACCAUGAUGAUGAGCUGAGAUCUCUGUUACACAGUGGUUAAUUAUAGCAGUUUCAGUUUUGGUUGCUCUAUUAGAUAGUCAGAUCUCAAACCAAUAUGCUCACACCUCUUUGUUACAGCAUCUUAAAGACACAAUUGAAACCAAAUCUCAAUCCUCAUAGAUCCAACCCUGCCUGUGAAGCCAUGCACAUGCUGAACCAAGGGGACAAACAGAUGCAGGAAGCCUUCUUCCUCCCCAGCCUGGCUUAACCUAGCAAGUACAGACUCGUGCACAGACUUCAGCUGCCAGCAGAAGUGAUUG